rnacentral:rRNA from 1 species
GACGAACGCUGGCGGCGUGCUUAACACAUGCAAGUCGAACGGAAAGGCCUGUCCUUCCUUGUGUUGGACGGGUACUCGAGUGGCGAACGGGUGGGUAACACGUGAGUGAUCUGCCCCCAACUUGGGUAUAAGCCUGGGAAACUGGGUCUAAUUCCCGAUAGGACUGCAGGGUGGUGCCUGUGGUGGAAAACGAUUUUCUAGUGGUUGGGGAUGAGCUCGCGGCCUAUCAGCUUGUUGGUGGGGUAAUGGCCUACCAAGGCGGCGACGGGUAGCCGGCCUGGGAGGGUGGACGGCGACAUUGGGACUGGGAUACGGCCCAGACUCCUACGGGAGGCAGCAGUGGGGAAUAUUACACAAUAGGCGGAAGCCUGAUGCAGCGACGCCGCGUGGGGGAUGACGGCCUUCGGGUUGUAAGCUCCUUUCGACCGCGAGGAAGCCGCCUGGUUGGAAGGGUGGUGACGGUAGUGGUAGAAGAAGCACUGGCUAACUACGUG